GUCUCAGGCCAUAUCAGCCUGAAGGCGCCCGAUCUCGUCUGAUCUCGGAAAGUGAAAGAGGAGAGAGAAGAAGUAGGCUUAAAUCUCAACAUUCAAAAAGCUAAGAUC
ensembl:rRNA 5S_rRNA 5S ribosomal RNA